rnacentral:rRNA from 1 species
CUGACUCGCUUAGAAUAUGGGAGGGCAGAGAAAGGUUAGAGAGCCGGUUUUAAUAAUUUAGCGGCGGACGGGGGAAUAGACUUGUGUAACCUGCCCUGAGACUGGUAUAACCCCGGUAAACCGGGCCUAAUACCGAUAAUAUUUUAGAACCGCUUGCUUGGAAAUUAGAAAGGAAGCCGCCGCCGGCCGUACGGAUGGACCCACCCCCCCCCACCCAGUUGGUGGGGGAACGGCCGACCCACCCAAGCAACCCUGCCCCACCGGCCAGGGGGGGGGGUCGGACUCGCUGUGACUGACCCCCGACCCUGAUUCCUGCGGCAGGCAGCAGUAAUAUAUCCUCCUUAAUGAAAGUAUGACUGAAGAACCGGCGCCGCGUGAGUGAGGGUGUCUUUCCCCACAUCUCCUCUGUUGGGAGAAAAAACGCUUGCUCACUUGUCUGUCGGCUCCCCAGAGGAUACCCCUAAAUCCGGGGUUUUUAAAAGGCUAGCCAGCACCUCGGAAAGUUACGUCGGGUUGCCUUCAAAUUAAACAAUUUAGUGCACAGAUUGGGGCGGGCGGUGGCCACUCCCGUGGGAGAAAGCUUUGGGGUCUCAUUCGCGGGGGCGUCGUGAUUAUCGCGUACACUUGAGCACUAAAAGGAGCAGAAGAGCCUUCUACUGUGAGCACUCUACGUUCACCAGAGUUGAGCAAGACACGACAUCUGAAUCCUGGUUUGCUUCCUGCCUGUACCCGACUCAGAGGCAGUAAAGCACGAGAAAGCCACUGAUCACUAGGCUGUCAUUCAUCUCUCCAAAGUUGACCGCUCAAAAUGGAAUGGCAUCGCCCUUCAGGCUGAGUACCAAUACAUCCGCUCCGAUAGCCGCAGCUUCAUCAUGAUUACAGUGCGCGCAUACUUGCACAUGGUUAGUAAAACCGAAAUUUCACGGUGACGUUAACAUGCU